UACCAGCACCCCGAGUGGUCGGGACGAUUAUUGGGCCUAAAGCAUCCGUAGCCGGUCAUGCAAGUCUUCCGUUAAAUCCAGCCGCUCAACGGUUGGGCUGCGGAGGAUACUACGUGGAUAGGAGGCGGGAGAGGCAAGCGGUACUCAGUGGGUAGGGGUAAAAUCCUUUGAUCCAUUGAAGACCACCAGUGGCGAAGGCGGCUUGCCAGAACGCGCUCGACGGUGAGGGAUGAAAGCUGGGGGAGCAAACCGG
rnacentral:rRNA from 1 species